UUUAAAUCUGAUUCUCUAGCCCGUAUCAGUGAUGCCAGCUGGAUCCGGUAUAAGACCUUUGAUACCAGAAGGUUGUCCUCGGAUAGGCCAAAACGCUUAAGAAGGCGCAAGAAUGUAAUCUGAAGGGCUUCAAUCUUUACCACUGGACUAGGUUUCUCAUCAACCCUAAAAUCCGACUGAAAAGAAUCUUCGCCUAUCCGUUGUUGUGAAUGGAAAUUAUUUGUAUUCUCUGUAUGCUCUUGAUUAUCAUUAUUGGAAGAUUGUAUUGUAUUGGCUAAUCUAGUUGUCGUAACCAAAUCAGCAGUGUGAGCUGGGUGGUCAAACCCUUGAUCAGGAUGUUCCUCUGAUAAAAAGUUAUCUGAUGCUAAAAGUGGUCUUGACGAGGCUACUGACUUGGUUAUCAACUGAGACAGGACCCAGUCCCUGAGGCUCAUCAUGUUUCCUGGUUAACACUUACUUCCCAUCAGCAUUGAAGAAGAGCAAACUUAUGAUAGAGUUCAAGAAUUGGGUUCUCGUGGAUCGAAAUUGAUUAUGAA
rnacentral:misc_RNA from 1 species